rnacentral:rRNA from 1 species
UACGGAAGGGGCAAGCGUUGUUCGGAAUUAUUGGGCGUAAAGGGCGUGUAGGCGGCUUCGCAGGUCGGUGGUGAAAGCAUACAGCUCAACUGUAUUGAGCCACGGAAACGGCGGAGCUUGAGGCUGGGAGGGGCUGGUGGAAUUCCCUGUGUAGCGGUGAAAUGCGUAGAGAUGGGGGAGAACACUCGUGGCGAAGGCGGCCAGCUGGACCAGUUCUGACGCUGAGACGCGAAAGCUAGGGUAGCAAACGGG